rnacentral:rRNA from 1 species
GAUGAACGCUGGCGGCGUGCCUAAUACAUGCAAGUCGAGCGAACAGAUGAGGAGCUUGCUCCUCUGACGUUAGCGGCGGACGGGUGAGUAACACGUGGAUAACCUACCUAUAAGACUGGGAUAACCUCGGGAAACCGGAGCUAAUACCGGAUAAUAUAUUGAACCGCAUGGUUCAAUAGUGAAAGACGGUUUUGCUGUCACUUAUAGAUGGAUCCGCGCCGCAUUAGCUAGUUGGUAAGGUAACGGCUUACCAAGGCAACGAUGGGUAGCCGACCUGAGAGGGUGAUCGGCCACACUGGAACUGAGACACGGUCCAGACUCCUACGGGAGGCAGCAGUAGGGAAUCUUCCGCAAUGGGCGAAAGCCUGACGGAGCAACGCCGCGUGAGUGAUGAAGGUCUUCGGAUCGUAAAACUCUGUUAUUAGGGAAGAACAAAUGUGUAAGUAACUAUGCACGUCUUGACGGUACCUAAUCAGAAAGCCACGGCUAACUACGUG